rnacentral:rRNA from 1 species
GACGAGGGAUCCUAGCGUUGUUCGGAAUCAUUGGGCGUAAAGCGGAUGUAGGUGGCUUUGUAAGUCAGGUGUGAAAGCCCCGGGCUCAACCCCGGGAAGUGCAUUUGAUACUGCGAAGCUUGAGUGCUAGAGAGGUUACUAGAAUACCUGGUGUAGUGGUGAAAUACGUAGAUAUCAGGUGGAAUACCGGAGGCGAAGGCGGGUAACCAGCUAGACACUGACACUCAGAUCCGAAAGAUGUGGG